rnacentral:rRNA from 1 species
GACGAACGCUGGCGGCGUGCCUAAUACAUGCAAGUUGAGCGCUGAAGGUUGGUACUUGUACCAACUGGAUGAGCAGCGAACGGGUGAGUAACGCGUGGGGAAUCUGCCUUUGAGCGGGGGACAACAUUUGGAAACGAAUGCUAAUACCGCAUAAAAACUUUAAACACAAGUUUUAAGUUUGAAAGAUGCAAUUGCAUCACUCAAAGAUGAUCCCGCGUUGUAUUAGCUAGUUGGUGAGGUAAAGGCUCACCAAGGCGAUGAUACAUAGCCGACCUGAGAGGGUGAUCGGCCACAUUGGGACUGAGACGAGGCCCAAACUCCUACGGGAGGCAGCAGUAGGGAAUCUUCGGCAAUGGACGAAAGUCUGACCGAGCAACGCCGCGUGAGUGAAGAAGGUUUUCGGAUCGUAAAACUCUGUUGGUAGAGAAGAACGUUGGUGAGAGUGGAAAGCUCAUCAAGUGACGGUAACUACCCAGAAAGGGACGGCUAACUACGUG